ACGGAAUAGAUACCCAGGUAGUCCCAGCUGUAAACGAUGCAGACUAGGUGUUUGGACGGCCACGUGCCGUUCCAGUGCCGCAGGGAAGCUGUUAAGUCUGCCGCCUGGGGAGUACGAUCGCAAGAUUGAAACUUAAAGGAAUUGGCGGGGGAGCACCACAAGGGGUGAAGCUUGCGGUUUAAUUGGAGUCAACGCUGGAAAUCUCACCGGGAGCGACAGCAGUAUGAAAGCCAGAUUGAAGGUCUUGCUAGACGAGCUGAGAGGAGGUGCAUGGCCGUCGCCAGUUCGUGCCGUGAGGUGUCCUGUUAAGUCAGGCAACGAUCGAGACCCGCGUCCUCUGUUGCAACCAGCUUUGUGCUGGGCACACUGAGGAGACCGCCACUGAUAAAGUGGAGGAAGGAGCGGGCCACGGCAGGUCAGUAUGCCCCGAAUCUCCCGGGCCACACGCGAGCUGCAAUGGCAAGUACAAUGGGUUCCGACCUCGAAAGGGGGAGGCAAUCUCGAAAGCUUGCCGUAGUUGGAA
rnacentral:rRNA from 1 species